UACCUUUGUUAUCUAUGUUUUUCUUACUUCUUAUAGAGUUGUGUUUGUUGAUUAUGUAUUUCUUCUUCUAAUUGUAUUUUCUUGCUUUUUUGUUAUUAGGAUACGAAGCGUUUUAGAUGCCGUGUACAUGAAUAUGUACCCCACGAUCCUUUAAUAGAACCAUAUAUUAGAGGAUGUGGAUUUGGAAAUCUACUAAACAUUGUUUCGUACUCGAUGGACUACAAGUUCAUUCUGGCUUUGUUGGAGAGGUGGAGACCCGAGACCCACACAUUUCACCUUUUGAUUGGUGAGUGUACCGUCACACUUGAGGACAUGUACAUGUUGUUGGGUCUCCGUAUAAAUGGAAAGGCAGUGAAUGGUCGAGUUAACCAAGACAACAAUAUCUGCAAUGAAUUAUUGGGUGCCCCUUUGUUAGACGACGAAACUGAGGGAGACACAUCCGAUCAAGCAAGGGGGCAAUGUAUAAAUUUAAAAUACCUUAAACAAUAUUAUGCCAGUAUAGUAUUGUCCGACGCUUCAACCGAGUAUGAGAAAAUAAUAAAAGCUCGGUGUUAAAUUAUGAUUUUAUUUGGUAAUUUUUUGUUUCCAGAAAGUACAGGUAAUUAUGUAAAUAUAAUGUAUUUACCUUUAUUACGCAACAUUAAUAAGGUAAACACUUAUAAUUGGGGUUCAGUUAUGUUGGCCAAUCUAUAUAGUGCAAUAUGCAGAACUGCAAAAAAGAAUACCUGUACUUUUUUUCAUGUGCGUAUUUGCUUCAAGCUUGGGGUUGGUCAAGAAUGCUGUCGCUCGCCCCGAUAAAUGAGCGCCCAUUCGUGUUCCUGUUUGCAACCAAAUGGUCAGUAAGGGGAAUGAACUACAACAGGUGUCCGAAACACGCUAUUGUAGUCUAUCGAAGUCUAUUGGACCACAUUGUACAUGACGAUUUUGUCUGGAGGUCAUAUCUGGGUCUGGAUCAUGAUGUGAACCAUGAUGCUGUUGCAAUUUGGACAUCAAAGACACCGAUUAUCCGAUUCACUACGGUGUAAAUGCAUCAGAGUGACCGGGUCAAACUGCAGUUCAGAAUGCUACAACAGAUUCCAGAAUCUCCCACGUGUUUGGGGAAUUGGCAUCAAAAAAGGGUUGAUGCCCAUUGGAAUUAUUCUGACUAGAGAGACUUUGCAAAAGACAUGUGUUGUCAAUGGAGGAAUCAACGACAACACAUCUUGAACGAACCAGUCAUCCAUGGUGCAAGACCGACUCAACAAUAUAUGGCAUGGUUUAGAUCGGUAACAAUUCAGCAAUUUGUAUCUGAGUCGCGAUAUUUGAUGGAUCCAUACCAACAUGAUUCGUCAUCGUACGCCCCAUAAUAAUUCACCAUCCAACACCAAUGUGAACCCACCCAAACCCAACAACCAACCACAUAACAUCAACCAACCACAUAACAUCAACCAACCACAUACACACAACAACCAAACACCCAACAUCGCAAUCCGUUCAUGCCAGCCACCCAACAACCAACCAUCCAACGUUGCAAUCCAUUCAUACCAUCCACCCAAACACAAAACCAAGAAUUAAACCCCGCAACCACAACCGUCUAUAGCCCAAAUGAUUCAUAUGGGUCACUUCAUCAUAGCCCCUCAUCAAUGACCACCCAAACAUCCCAUCAACAGAACACCCAACCAUUGUUUAACUAUAAUACGCCCCAGAAACCAUUGUUUCGUUUCCAAAAUGAAUCAAUGGCCCAAUUCGGGCAACUAUACCGUCCCCAAUUCACCCAACCCCAACGCCCUAACUACGAUGACAUGGACAUCGAACUCCAUUACGGAAGCGCCGUUGGCCAGAGUCCCUCCAGAUAUUGGGAGCAAAUGAUGACGCAUAUGUCAAAUACCGCUGGAACUUCCGCCAGACCUUCCAACCAGCCAUCGCUUGAUCAGGUAAGCACACAAAGAUCCAAAACACCUCAAGAAAAUCGUGGGAGACCUCGGAGACAAACUAACGCACCGGGAUGUGGAACAUGGGGGGCGUUAUAAUC